GACGAACGCUGGCGGCGCGCCUAACACAUGCAAGUCGAACGAGCGAGAGGAGGUUUACUUUCUCCAGCGAGUGGCGAACGGGUGAGUAACGCGUGAGGAACCUGCCUCAAAGAGGGGGACAACAGUUGGAAACGACUGCUAAUACCGCAUAAGCCCACGACCCGGCAUCGGGUAGAGGGAAAAGGAGCAAUCCGCUUUGAGAUGGCCUCGCGUCCGAUUAGCUAGUUGGUGAGGUAAUGGCCCACCAAGGCGACGAUCGGUAGCCGGACUGAGAGGUUGAACGGCCACAGUGGGACUGAGACACGGCCCAGACUCCUACGGGAGGCAGCAGUGGGGAAUAUUGCACAAUGGGGGAAACCCUGAUGCAGCGACGCCGCGUGGAGGAAGAAGGUCUUCGGAUUGUAAACUCCUGUUGUUGAGGAAGAUAAUGACGGUACUCAACAAGGAAGUGACGGCUAACUACGUG
rnacentral:rRNA from 1 species